rnacentral:rRNA from 1 species
AUACGUAGGUGGCGAGCGUUGUCCGGAAUUACUGGGUGUAAAGGGUGCGUAGGCGGAUUUGCAAGUCAGGUGUGAAAAUUAUGGGCUCAACCCAUAACCUGCAUUUGAAACUGUUGUUCUUGAGUGAUGGAGAGGCAGGCGGAAUUCCGUGUGUAGCGGUGAAAUGCGUAGAUAUACGGAGGAACACCAGUGGCGAAGGCGGCCUGCUGGACAUUAACUGACGCUGAGGCGCGAAAGCGUGGGGAGC